rnacentral:rRNA from 1 species
GCGUGCCUAAUACAUGCAAGUCGAGCGAACAGAUGAGAAGCUUGCUUCUCUGAUGUUAGCGGCGGACGGGUGAGUAACACGUGGGUAACCUACCUAUAAGACUGGGAUAACUCCGGGAAACCGGGGCUAAUACCAGAUAAUACAUUGAACCGCAUGGUUCAAUGUUGAAAGACGGUUUCGGCUGUCACUUAUAGAUGGACCCGCGCCGUAUUAGCUAGUUGGUAAGGUAACGGCUUACCAAGGCAACGAUACGUAGCCGACCUGAGAGGGUGAUCGGCCACACUGGAACUGAGACACGGUCCAGACUCCUACGGGAGGCAGCAGUAGGGAAUCUUCCGCAAUGGGCGAAAGCCUGACGGAGCAACGCCGCGUGAGUGAUGAAGGUCUUAGGAUCGUAAAACUCUGUUGUUAGGGAAGAACAAAUUUGUUAGUAACUGAACAAGUCUUGACGGUACCUAACCAGAAAGCCACGGCUAACUACGUGCCAGCAGCCGCGGUAAUACGUAGGUGGCAAGCGUUAUCCGGAAUUAUUGGGCGUAAAGCGCGCGUAGGCGGUUUCUUAAGUCUGAUGUGAAAGCCCACGGCUCAACCGUGGAGGGUCAUUGGAAACUGGGGAACUUGAGUGCAGAAGAGGAGAGUGGAAUUCCAUGUGUAGCGGUGAAAUGCGCAGAGAUAUGGAGGAACACCAGUGGCGAAGGCGGCUCUCUGGUCUGUAACUGACGCUGAUGUGCGAAAGCGUGGGGAUCAAACAGGAUUAGAUACCCUGGUAGUCCACGCCGUAAACGAUGAGUGCUAAGUGUUAGGGGGUUUCCGCCCCUUAGUGCUGCAGCUAACGCAUUAAACACUCCGCCUGGGGAGUACGACCGCAAGGUUGAAACUCAAAGGAAUUUGACGGGGGACCCGCACAAGCGGUGGAGCAUGUGGUUUAAUUCGAAGCAACGCGAAGAACCUUACCAAAUCUUGACAUCCUUUGACCGCUCUAGAGAUAGAGUCUUCCCCUUCGGGGGACAAAGUGACAGGUGGUGCAUGGUUGUCGUCAGCUCGUGUCGUGAGAUGUUGGGUUAAGUCCCGCAACGAGCGCAACCCUUAAGCUUAGUUGCCAUCAUUAAGUUGGGCACUCUAGGUUGACUGCCGGUGACAAACCGGAGGAAGGUGGGGAUGACGUCAAAUCAUCAUGCCCCUUAUGAUUUGGGCUACACACGUGCUACAAUGGAUAAUACAAAGGGCAGCGAACCCGCGAGGUCAAGCAAAUCCCAUAAAAUUAUUCUCAGUUCGGAUUGUAGUCUGCAACUCGACUACAUGAAGCUGGAAUCGCUAGUAAUCGUAGAUCAGCAUGCUACGGUGAAUACGUUCCCGGGUCUUGUACACACCGCCCGUCACACCACGAGAGUUUGUAACACCCGAAGCCGGUGGAGUAACCUUUUAUUAGAAGCUAGCCGUCGAAGGUGGGACAGAUGAUUG